rnacentral:rRNA from 1 species
UACGUAGGGAGCUAGCGUUGUCCGGAAUCAUUGGGCGUAAAGCGCGCGUAGGCGGCCCGGUAAGUCCGCUGUGAAAGUCAAAGGCUCAACCUUUGAAUGUCAGCGCAUACUGCCGGGCUAGAGUCCGGAAGAGGCGAGUGGAACUCCUGGUGUAGCGGUGGAAUGCGCAGAUAUCAGGAAGAACACCAACGGCGAAGGCAGCUCGCUGGGACGGAACUGACGCUAAGGCGCGAAAGCGUGGGGAGCGAACAGG